GGCGCCAUAGUGAAGUGGUAACACAUGGCUCUGCAAAAGCCUAAUCGCGGGUUCAAAUCCCGCUGGCGCCU
rnacentral:tRNA from 1 species